rnacentral:tRNA from 1 species
GGAGGCGCUGCGGCUCAGUUGUAGAGCCCUGGCUUUGCAUGCAAGAGGUCAUCGGUUCGAUCCCCGCCAUCUCCG